GGGUAAAGAAGCACCGGCUAACUACGUGCCAGCAGCCGCGGUGAUACGUAGGGUGCGAGCGUUGUCCGGAUUUAUUGGGCGUAAAGGGCUCGUAGGUGGUUGAUCGCGUCGGAAGUGUAAUCUUGGGGCUUAACCCUGAGCGUGCUUUCGAUACGGGUUGACUUGAGGAAGGUAGGGGAGAAUGGAAUUCCUGGUGGAGCGGUGGAAUGCGCAGAUAUCAGGAGGAACACCAGUGGCGAAGGCGGUUCUCUGGGCCUUUCCUGACGCUGAGGAGCGAAAGCGUGGGGAGCGAACAGGCUUAGAUACCCUGGUAGUCCACGCUGUAAACGGUGGGUACUAGGUGUGGGGUCCAUUCCACGGGUUCCGCGCCGUAGCUAACGCUUUAAGUACCCCGCCUGGGGAGUACGGCCGCAAGGCUAAAACUCAAAGGAAUUGACGGGGCCCCGCACAAGCGGCGGAGCAUGCGGAUUAAUUCGAUGCAACGCGUAGAACCUUACCUGGGUUUGACAUGGAUCGGGAGUGCUCAGAGAUGGGUGUACCUCUUUUGGGGUCGGUUCACAGGUGGUGCAUGGCUGUCGUCAGCUCGUGUCGUGAGAUGUUGGGUUAAGUCCCGCAACGAGCGCAACCC
rnacentral:rRNA from 1 species